AGGGUCGGCUUAGAGAAAAGUGGA
rnacentral:siRNA from 1 species